rnacentral:rRNA from 1 species
AUUUUGGACAAUGGGCGAAAGCCUGAUCCAGCAAUGCCGCGUGUGUGAAGAAGGCCUUCGGGUUGUAAAGCACUUUUGUCCGGAAAGAAAACUUCUGUCCUAAUACGGCGGGAGGAUGACGGUACCGGAAGAAUAAGCACCGGCUAACUACGUGCCAGCAGCCGCGGUAAUACGUAGGGUGCAAGCGUUAAUCGGAAUUACUGGGCGUAAAGCGUGCGCAGGCGGUUCGUUAAGACAGAUGUGAAAUCCCCGGGCUUAACCUGGGAACUGCAUUUGUGACUGGCGGGCUAGAGUAUGGCAGAGGGGGGUAGAAUUCCACGUGUAGCAGUGAAAUGCGUAGAGAUGUGGAGGAAUACCGAUGGCGAAGGCAGCCCCCUGGGCCAAUACUGACGCUCAUGCACGAAAGCGUGGGGAGCAAACAGGAUUAGAUACCCUGGUAGUCCACGCCCUAAACGAUGUC